CUAGCACUUUCACAAGUCCUCCCCCAGGCAGUGGGGCCAGGAUUUGCGUAGCUGGUACUGAGAGAAAACCCUUGAUUUCAUCCUUGCCCUGGGACUGUACCACUGGCAACUGUUGCUCCACUGGACAGAC